UGCGAAGGGGGCUAGCGUUGCUCGGAAUUACUGGGCGUAAAGCGCACGUAGGCGGAUUGCUAAGUCAGGGGUGAAAUCCUGGAGCUCAACUCCAGAACUGCCUUGAUACUGGCGAUCUCGAGUCCGGGAGAGGUGAGUGGAACUGCGAGUGUAGAGGUGAAAUUCGUAGAUAUUCGCAAGAACACCAGUGGCGAAGGCGGCUCACUGGCCCGGUACUGACGCUGAGGUGCGAAAGCGUGGGAGCGAACGAG
rnacentral:rRNA from 1 species